rnacentral:lncRNA from 1 species
AACCUAGGGCUGUCCAUCCAGGCUGAAGAGAAUAUUCCAGAGCAGAGGUUGGGACACUAUGGCCCAUGGGCCAAAUCUGACCUGCUUUGCACAUGUGUUUGUCAAUAAAGUUUUAUUGAAACACAGCCAUGCACAUUUGCUACAUAUUGUCUAUGGCUGCUGGAUUUGGCUGUUCUCUCAUGCUAUAAAGAAAUACCUGAGGCUGGGUAAUAUAUUAAAAAAAGAGGUUUAAUUGGCUCACAGUUUUGUAGGCUAUACAGGGAGCAUGACACUGACAGCCGCUGAGCUUCUGUGGAGGCCUCAGGAAACUUACAAUGAUGGCAGAAGGUGAAGCGGGAGCAAGAGAGUAAGGUGGGAGGUGCUACACACUCGUAAACAACCCGAUCUUGCAAGAACUCACUCACUAUUGCAAGGACAGGACCAAAAGGAUGACGCUAAAUCAUUCAUGAGAAAUCCACCCCCAUGAUCCAAUCUCUUCCCACCAGGCCCCACCUCUAACACUGGGGACAGCUUUUAUCUUGGCUUUUUCACUGGCAGCCCCUUCCUCAAGGACUUAACUUGUGCAAGCUGACUCUUAGCACAUCCAAGAAUGCAAUUAACUGAUAAGAUACUGUGGGGCGAGCAAUAUCCGCAGUUCCCAGGAAUUUGUCCGAUUGAUAAUGCCUAAAGCCCCACGUCUAUCAUUUUGUAAUAGUCUUAAAGCCCUUAGACCUAGAACUGUUUACUUUCCUGUAACAAUUUAUCCUUUUAACUUUUUUGCCUACUUUACUUCUGUAAAAUUCUUUUAACUAGACCCGUUUCCCCUUUCUAAACUGAAGUAUAAAAGAAAAUCUAGCCCCUUCUUCGGGGCCAAGAGAACUUUAAGAGUUAGCCAUUUCUUGACCGCCAGCUAAAUAAGCAGACUCUUAAUUCAUGUGAAAGUGUGGCAUUUUCUCUAACUCUUUCAAGUACAACAUUUGGAGGCCCCAGCGAGAAACGCCAUGAGGCGAGAGCCGGGCUCGCUCCGGGCUCCCCCAGAAGGACGGCCGGCUUGUUGGGGGGUGCCACCUAAAAAAAAUUUUCAGGUCCUCGAAAGGUGACCGUCUUCCAGAGGAGAGCGGAUCGACUACCGUGUGGGUGACCAUAAAAAUUCCACCUCUGAGUCCUCGACUUCUGACCCCAAGGUCAGGUAGGUCAGAUUUGACUUCAGUUCUAGUAAGAGGGAAGCGGCCCUGACGAGGGUGUCCCUCUUUUGACUCUGCCUGUUUAUCUAGGACGCUAGAAGGUAGAGCGCUGGCUUUCUGUUAGGCACCUCUGUGUCUCUUUCUAGGAGGGAAGAGGCCCUGACAGGGACCCUCCCUUGACUCAGUCCACAUCCCAGGAUGCUGGAGGACUGAGUCCUGGUUUCUGGCAGACCGGUCACUCUCUCUCUCUCUUUUUAUAUCUCUCAUCUUUCUCUUGUUCAAGUUUCUUGAAGAAUCUCCAAGAAAGAAAGAAAAAAAAACUGUUAUAUACUCUGUGUGAAUAAUGAAUGAAUGAGGGAGGACAAGGGCUUGCGCUUGUCCUCCAGUUUGUAGCUCCACGGCGAAAGCUACGGAGUUCAAGUAGACCCUCACCUGCGGUUCCUUGGCGACCUCAUAAGGCUUAAGGCAGCAUCAGGCAUAGCUUGAUCUGAGCCGCAAGUUUAUACCGGCCUGCCAAUGGUAAGAGGAGCCCAGGUCCCCUCAGGGGGAGUGGCCAGGCAGGCAUCUGACUGAUCCCAUCACAGGAAACCCUCUCCUUGUCUGUCUAAGAAAAAAAAAAAAGGAAGAAACUGUCAUAACUGUUUACAUGCCCUAAAGUCAACUGUUUGUUUUAUAUUGAUUGUUCUGUUCAGUGUCUAUUGUCUUGUUAGUAGUUGUCAAAGUUUUGCAUGUCAAGACGUUGAUAUUGCCCAAGACGUCUAAGUAAAAACUUCUUCAAAGUCCUUAGUGCUGAUUUUUUGUCACAGGAGGUUAAAUUUCUCAUCAAUCAUUUAGGCUGACCACCACAGUCCUGUCUUUUCUGCCAGAAGCAAGUCAAGUGUUGUUACAAGAACAAGUGUGAAAAACAUUUGCCUGAUUAAGAUUUCUAGCACCAUGAAAGUGGUACAAGAUAUUAUCCUGCCACUUGUUUGAGGAGCCCUUCCCAAUCCAAUUCCUGACCAGAAAAAGUCCUGCCAUUCAUUCCAGCCAGGAGACCUAGCAUUUGUUAAAAAGUUCCAAAAAGAAAGACUCACUCCUGCUUAGAAAAGACCUCACACCGUCAUCCUCACGACUCCAACUGCUCUGAAAGUAGGCGGCAUUCCUGCUAGAUUCAUCACUCCCGCAUCAAAAAGUCCAACAGAGCCCAGCUCAAAACAUAAGUCCCCAGGCCUAAGUCAGGCCCCUUAAAACUGCACCUAAGUCAGGUGAAGCCAUUAGAUUCAUUCUUUUUGUCUACCUCACUUAUUUGUUUUUGCCAGUUACAUCCUCUGUGCCUUCCUACUCCUUUCUCCUCACCUCUUUCACAACAGGACGUGUAUUUGCAAACACCACUUAGAAGGUCCGUACCUCCAAGGAAGUCUCCUUUGCAGUUGAUUUAUUUGUACUAUUCCCAAAGCCAGCCCACACCCACAAAAACAACACCAUCUGCCAGUCCCAGGAGCAGGAAGUGUCGA